rnacentral:rRNA from 1 species
AACGAACGUUGGCGGCGUGGAUGAGGCAUGCAAGUCGAACGCGAAAGCCGCAAGGCGAGUAAAGUGGCGGACGGGCGAGUAACACGUAAUCAAGCUACCUGCGAGACGGGGAUAACUUCGGGAAACCGAAGCUAAGACCCGAUGGUCUUCUAGGAACGCAUGUUCCAUGAAGUAAAUGGGCGGGAUCCUCCGGGAUCGCCUGCUCGCAGAGGUGAUUGCGGCCCAUCAGCUAGUGGUAGGGUAAUGGCCUACCAAGGCAACGACGGGUAGCCGGCCUUAGAGGGUGGUCGGCCGCACUGGGACUGAGACACUGCCCAGACUCCUACGGGAGGCUGCAGUCGAGAAUCUUCGCAAUGGCGGAAAGCCUGACGGAGCGACGCCGCGUUGGAGGA